rnacentral:rRNA from 1 species
GCUUAGCCCUAAACUUUAACAGUUGAAUCAACAAAACUGCUCGCCAGAACACUACGAGCCACAGCUUAAAACUCAAAGGACCUGGCGGUGCUUCAUACCCCCCUAGAGGAGCCUGUUCUGUAAUCGAUAAACCCCGAUCAACCUCACCACCCCUUGCUCAGCCUAUAUACCGCCAUCUUCAGCAAACCCUGAUGAAGGCCACGAAGUAAGCGCAAACACCCACGUAAAGACGUUAGGUCAAGGUGUAGCCCAUGGAGUGGCAAGAAAUGGGCUACAUUUUCUACUUCAGAAAACUACGAUAACCCUCAUGAAAUUUGAAGGUCGAAGGUGGAUUUAGCAGUAAACUAAGAGUAGAGUGCUUAGUUGAACAAGGCCCUGAAGCGCGU